rnacentral:lncRNA from 1 species
CUCAGUGUGGAUGGAGCAGAUGUGAAUGAGGAGGUGUGCACAACUGCAGAUGUGAUUGUAGCAAUGGAGGCGAGCAAUUGCACCAAGCCGCCCGUGGUGGCCUCACAGAACCCAACACCUCAAGUGCCUCUGAAAGCUUUGAGUUGCUCUGGUCUUCAGCCAUGACCUUGCGUACAAGCUUGAGAUUCCUGUCUUCUCCAGUGACGGUUCCUGGCAUCCCAGGCAAGGAACAGCUGUGGGACUACAAGUCUCCUCAGACACCACACCAGCACCUUCCCCAGAAAAACUCUGUACAAGGACCUGAACUGUGAUGACCUCGGGACCAGGGUAAAGACCAAGAGAUUCGUUAAUGAGAAGGACUGGUAUAGACCAUAGACAGAGGAGCCGAGAAGGACCAGGUCACUUUGAGCAGGACCAGUUCACUUUGAGCAGGAUCCAUUUGGUUUGGACAAGUUUUUGGCAGAAGCAAAACAUCAUGUUGGUUCUAAAAGACCCUGGGAGAGCAUUUACCCCCAAGGAACAGGGGCUCAAAGGCAAGAAGCCAAACAAAGGGGUAUAGAGGCCUCUGGAAACUAAAGCUGACAUAUACAGCCGAGGAUGGCCUGGUCUAGCCAUCCUUCUGUGAGGGAAGAUGCACCUAACCCCGGAGAGACUUGAGACCCUGGAGAGUGGGGAAGCCUGGGGGGAUCGGGGGUGCUGGUGGGGAGUGGGGAUAUCAUCUCUUGGGUUCAUGGGGGAGGAGGAAUGUGAUGAAGAACUGUCAGAGGAGGGACAACGACAGGGAUAAAGACUGGACUGUCAAACACAUAAUUAAAGUUAAUUAAAAGAAAAAGG